UUAGCAUCCUCCUCAGCCUUUUCCUCCUGCUCAGGCUGAUUGCAAAUCUUUUGGAUUGCACUUCAUGGUCAGGGGCUGGACCAGGGCUGAUGGACGAUGUUACUCAAGGUGCUCUUCAAGUA